GUCUUUUUGGGUUUAAUAAAAAGUCUAGCCUGCCCAAUGUAUAUUAAUGGCCGCGGUAUUUUGACCGUGCGAAGGUAGCAUAAUCAAUAGUCUAUUUAAUGUAGUCUGGAAUGAAGGGUUUGACGGGGAGCAUCUUUCUUAGUUUUGAUUUUGAAUUUAAAUUGUUAGUAAAAAUGCUAAUAUAGUUUAGGGGGACGAGAAGACCCUAUAGAACUUUAUAUAAAUAUUGAUUUUUGUAGCUAUUAUCAAUUAUAUUUUGUUGGGGCGACAGUAAUUGUAAACAAUUAUUUUGAUGCUUAAAUUGAAGGGUGUUUGAUCCAUUAAUAGUGAUUUUAGAACAAGUUACCUUAGGGAUAACAGCGUAAUUAAAUUUUAGAGUUCUUAUCGAUAAUUUAGAUUGCGACCUCGAUGUUGGAUUACAAUUCCCUUUGGGCGUAGGUGUUUUUAGGGGUAGUCUGUUCGACUAUUAAAAUUGUACAUGAUCU
rnacentral:rRNA from 1 species